GGCCGUAUCACGUUGAAACACCGGUUCUCGUACAAUCACCGAAGUUAAGCAACCUCGAGCCUGGUCAAUACCUAGAUGGAUGACCUCUUGAGAAUACCAGGUGCU